UGGGGAAUAUUGCACAAUGGGGGAAACCCUGAUGCAGCAACGCCGCGUGAGUGAAGAAGUAUUUCGGUAUGUAAAGCUCUAUCAGCAGGGAAGAAAAUGACGGUACCUGACUAAGAAGCACCGGCUAAAUACGUGCCAGCAGCCGCGGUAAUACGUAUGGUGCAAGCGUUAUCCGGAUUUACUGGGUGUAAAGGGAGCGCAGGCGGUCUGGCAAGUCUGAUGUGAAAAUCCGGGGCUCAACCCCGGAACUGCAUUGGAAACUGUCAGACUAGAGUGUCGGAGAGGUAAGUGGAAUUCCUAGUGUAGCGGUGAAAUGUGUAGAUAUUAGGAGGAACACCAGUGGCGAAGGCGGCUUACUGGACGAUAACUGACGCUGAGGCUCGAAAGCGUGGGGAGCAAACAGGAUUAGAUACCCUGGUAGU
rnacentral:rRNA from 1 species